rnacentral:rRNA from 1 species
UACGUAGGGGGCAAGCGUUGUCCGGAUUUAUUGGGCGUAAAGAGCGUGUAGGCGGCCAGACAGGUCCGUUGUGAAAACUCGAGGCUCAACCUCGAGACGUCGAUGGAAACCGUCUGGCUAGAGUCCGGAAGAGGAGAGUGGAAUUCCUGGUGUAGCGGUGAAAUGCGCAGAUAUCAGGAAGAACACCUAUGGCGAAGGCAGCUCUCUGGAACGGUACUGACGCUGAGACGCGAAAGCGUGGGGAGCGAACAGG